GAGUUAGAGAUAGUGUUCCUUCAUCCAGGUUACAAAUCAAUGAGACAAGAAGGUCCAGCAAUGCCAGGUUGAGCUGCAGAUGGUGUUCCUUCAUCCAGGUUACAAAUCAAUGAGACAAGAAGGUCCAGCUGUGCCAGGUUGAACUGCAGAUGGUGUUCUUUCAUCCAGGUUACAAAUCAAUGAGACAAGAAGGUCCAGCUAUGCCAGGUUGAGCUGCAGAUGGUGUCCCUUCAUCCAGGUUACAAAUCAAUGAGACAAGAAGGUCCA